AUUGAACGCUGGCGGCAUGCCUUACACAUGCAAGUCGAACGGCAGCACGGGAGCAAUCCUGGUGGCGAGUGGCGAACGGGUGAGUAAUAUAUCGGAACGUGCCCAGUCGUGGGGAUAACGUAGCGAAAGCUACGCUAAUACCGCAUACGAUCUAUGGAUGAAAGCGGGGGAUCGCAAGACCUCGCGCGAUUGGAGCGGCCGAUAUCAGAUUAGGUAGUUGGUGAGGUAAAGGCUCACCAAGCCGACGAUCUGUAGCUGGUCUGAGAGGACGACCAGCCACACUGGGACUGAGACACGGCCCAGACUCCUACGGAGGCAGCAGUGGGGAAUUUUUGGACAAUGGGCGCAAGCCUGAUCCAGCAAUGCCGCGUGCAGGAUGAAGGCCUU
rnacentral:rRNA from 1 species